rnacentral:rRNA from 1 species
UACGGGGGGGGCAAGCGUUGUUCGGAAUUACUGGGCGUAAAGGGCUCGUAGGUGGCCAACUAAGUCAGACGUGAAAUCCCUCGGCUUAACUGGGGAAGUGCACCCGAAACUGGGUAGCUAGAGUGCAAAAGAGGGUCGCGGAAUUCCCAGUGUAGAGGUGAAAUUCGUAGAUAUUGGGAGGAACACCGGUGGCGAAGGCGGCGACCUGGGUUGACACUGACGCUGAGGCGCGAAAGCGUGGGGAGCAAACAGG